UGGAGGCAGCAGUGAGGGAUAUUGCACAAUGGGGGAAACCCUGAUGCAGCAACGCCGCGUGAGUGACGAAGGCCUUCGGGUUGUAAAACUCUGUCUUAGCUGACGAUAAUGACGGUAAGCUAGGAGGAAGCCACGGCUAACUACGUGCCAGCAGCCGCGGUAAUACGUAGGUGGCAAGCGUUGUCCGGAAUUACUGGGCGUAAAGGGAGCGUAGGCGGUCUAUUAAGUGGGAUGUGAAAUACCCGGGCUCAACCUGGGAAUUGCAUUCCAAACUGGGAGACUAGAGUGCAGGAGAGGAAAGUGGAAUUCCAAGUGUAGCGGUGAAAUGCGUAGAGAUUUGGAGGAACACCAGUGGCGAAGGCGACCUUCUGGACUGUAACUGACGCUGAGGCUCGAGAGCGUGGGGAGCAAACAGGAUUAGAUACCCGAGUAG
rnacentral:rRNA from 1 species